CCGUUUCAACUUGUGUUGGACUGAUAUAGUGGAUAUGGGUAUCAAUACCACCUGGAGUUAAGAUGUAUCCUGAUCCACCAUGCACCUCCGUAGAAGCACCGAUAAUCAUAUUUGGUGUAAUAUUAUCCAUGGUAUCCGGAUUUCCAGCACGACCAACACCAACAAUUUUACCAUCCUUAAUACCAAUAUCACCUUUCACGAUACCCCAGUGGUCAAUAACAAUAGCAUCAGUGAUCACCAUAUCCAGUGUACCUUCAUCACGUGUAUGAACGGAAGAUUGGCACAUCCCGUCACGCACGG
rnacentral:sRNA from 2 species